GGACAGAUGGCCGAGCUGGUUAUGGCGCCAGGUUAAGGUUUAUCUUAACAACAAUUUCCUGGUCACGAAAGUGGCGUGGGUUCGAGUCCCACUCUGUUCA